rnacentral:rRNA from 1 species
GACGAACGCUGGCGGCGUGCUUAACACAUGCAAGUCGAACGGAAAGGCCCUGCUUUUGUGGGGUGCUCGAGUGGCGAACGGGUGAGUAACACGUGAGUAACCUGCCCUUGACUUUGGGAUAACUUCAGGAAACUGGGGCUAAUACCGGAUAGGAGCUCCUGCUGCAUGGUGGGGGUUGGAAAGUUUCGGCGGUUGGGGAUGGACUCGCGGCUUAUCAGCUUGUUGGUGGGGUAGUGGCUUACCAAGGCUUUGACGGGUAGCCGGCCUGAGAGGGUGACCGGCCACAUUGGGACUGAGAGACGGCCCAGACUCCUACGGGAGGCAGCAGUGGGGAAUAUUGCACAAUGGGCGGAAGCCUGAUGCAGCAACGCCGCGUGCGGGAUGAUGGCCUUCGGGGUGUAAACCGCUUUCGCCUGUGACGAAGCGUGAGUGACGGUAAUGGGUAAAGAAGCACCGGCUAACUACGUG